ACAUGUAGGAUAGCAGUUCACAGCCAUGACUUGGGAUCCUUCAUCAAUGCCCUCAUGUAAGUAUUUAGGGCUUAGCCCUAAGUUCUCAAAUACAACUCCCAUCAACUUUCUAUGCAAUGCAUGCACGGCUUGCGUAUAGUUUCCCAUUUUUUCCCUACAAAAUGGAAAAACAAGAAGUUAUGUUAUAGGUUAAAGAAUUAGGUUUUUAAUUAGCUUUAUUGAUGCUUUGCCAAGCUUCUUUCAAGUGGCCCUAAGUCUACUUACUUGUAGGUUUUUGGAUUUGAUGGCCAUUGGUCGAUCCAAGUUGAAAUCGGAUGAGAGUAAUGUUUGAUGAAGUCCCUCCAAAAGAGAACCCUAUCCUUAACAUGAUUCAGACUGGUUCCAUAUCUAACAGGUUCGCGGAUAUUGGCUGAUGCAAGUGACAUCUUCUCUUCGUGUGGCAACUCAAAGAAGUCAGUUGCAGCGUCUAGGGCAUCAUUCAUGACUGAAAGAGGUAUCCCAUGAUUAAUGACCUGCAAAACAUACGAGUCAUGAAUUGUUGCAUAACCGUGGCAUAUGCAUGCAUGCCAAUCCUAUGCCAAUGGAAAUUGCUAUCCUGCCUAGCUUCUUUUUGUUGCUCAACUACAGCUUCGAGCUUUUUGCUCCAGGUUUUUGCAUUAUUGCAAAAAGCAGAUAAAUAUUUCGAUGAAACCUAGAAAUCAUGCGGGGUAUUAGAAUGUUUCCUAGGAUAAUGCAAAAGAUAACUCCUUUUUUAAGUGUUGUGACAUGAAAUUUUAAAAGCCAUAAAAAAUUUCAAAUGCACAUAUGUUUCUAGUCAACUAGUCAACAUCUUGAUUAGUUAAGGGCAGUGAUUAUUGGUGCUUCUAAUGCAUGUCACAAGGAACAUGAAUUCCUGCAUAUUCGUUGCAUGACCACUCCAAUACGUUAUACCAUUGAGGUUGGUAAAUCAUUAGCAAAAUCAACAAGAAUCUGAAAAUAUGAAAUAUAUGUCCAUACAUUCAUGGUGUUCUCAGAAACUUCUUGUCUCCCUCUUCAGGAAAAUCAUGCGAAUCUUGUGCAUGCAAGAGACAGGAUUAACGGCCUGUAAUGUAUACCUGGAAAAAUCCUGAGUCCUUGCAUGCCAGGCGUACUUCCUC
rnacentral:lncRNA from 1 species